rnacentral:rRNA from 1 species
CCAAAGGCAUAGCUGGGUAGCUACGUGCGGACGGGAUAAGUGCUGAAAGCAUCUAAGCAUGAAGCCCCCCUCAAGAUGAGAUUUCCCAUGGCGCAAGCUAGUAAGAUCCCUGAAAGAUGAUCAGGUUGAUAGGUCAGAGGUGGAAGCGUGGCGACAUGUGGAGCUGACUGAUACUAAUAGAUCGAGGACUUAACCAAC